CCUACGGGAGGCAGCAGUAGGGAAUCUUGCACAAUGGGCGAAAGCCUGAUGCAGCAACGCCGCGUGGGUGAAGAAGGCCUUCGGAUUGUAAAACCCUGUUGUUGAGAAGAUAGUGCGUGAGAGUAACUGUUCACGUUACGUCGGUAUCUAACCAGAAAGCCACGGCUAACUACGUGCCAGCAGCCUCGGUAAUACGUAGGUGGCAAGCGUUAUCCGGAUUUAUUGGGCGUAAAGGGAGCGCAGGCGGUCUGUUAAGUCUGAGGUGAAAGCCUUGGGCGUAACAGGUGUAGUGCAUUGGAUACUGGGAGACUUGAGUGCAGGAGAGGAAGGUGGAAG
rnacentral:rRNA from 1 species